rnacentral:rRNA from 1 species
ACGAACGCUGGCGGCGUGCUUAACACAUGCAAGUCGAACGAUGAAAGAGGGAGCUUGCUUCUUCUGGAUUAGUGGCGAACGGGUGAGUAACACGUGAGCAAUCUGCCCUUGACUCUGGGAUAAGCGUUGGAAACGACGUCUAAUACCGGAUACGACCCUCGGAGGCAUCUCCUGGGGGUGGAAAGAAUUUUGGUCAAGGAUGAGCUCGCGGCCUAUCAGCUAGUUGGUGAGGUAAUGGCUCACCAAGGCGACGACGGGUAGCCGGCCUGAGAGGGUGACCGGCCACACUGGGACUGAGACACGGCCCAGACUCCUACGGGAGGCAGCAGUGGGGAAUAUUGCACAAUGGGCGAAAGCCUGAUGCAGCAACGCCGCGUGAGGGAUGACGGCCUUCGGGUUGUAAACCUCUUUUAGUAGGGAAGAAGCGAAAGUGACGGUACCUGCAGAAAAAGCACCGGCUAACUACGU